rnacentral:rRNA from 1 species
UGGAUUUGACAUAUAUUUGCCCACUCUAGAGAUAGAGUUUUUCUUCGGAACAAAUAUACAGGUGCUGCAUGGCUGUCGUCAGCUCGUGCUGUGAAGUGUUCGGUUAAGUCCGGCAACGAGCGCAACCCACAUCGUUAGUUACUAACAGGUAAUGCUGAGGACUCUAGCGAGACUGCCCGUGUUAAGCGGGAGGAAGGCGUGGACGACGUCAAGUCAGUAUGGCCCUUACAUCCAGGGCUGCACACGUGCUACAAUGGUCGAUACAAAAGGAAGCUAUACCGCGAGGUGGCGCAAAUCCCCAAAAUCGGCCCCAGUUCGGAUAGGAGUCUGCAACUCGACUCCUUGAAGUUGGAAUCGCUAGUAAAGGUAUAUCAGCUACGAUACCUUGAAUACGUUCCCGGGCCU